rnacentral:lncRNA from 1 species
AUUAAUCUGUUGUUGCACUAAUUUAUGAUAUCUCUUUAUCUUUUUAUCAAACAAUUAUUUAUAAGGCUGUUAAGAUUUGAGAGAUUACUCAAGUGCCUAUUUCAUGGUACAUACCCAACAAGCAAACAAGUUCCUCUUUCUUCAUCUCAAAUAAUAAUAAUGGUAAUAGGAUUACAAGAAGGAGGAGGUAGAGGAUUGGAGAAAAGUGAAAAGUGGUCAUUGAAAUACUAGUAAAUGUUGAAAAAUUUGCACAUGAACAACUAGAAUUACCUGUUUUUUAUGCAGGUUUCUACCACCUCAGACACAUGCUCUAAACACAGAGAAAUGCCAGCAAGUUCUGGGAUGAGGAUGAAACUUUAGGAAAGUUCUUAACUCUACCUAAGAAUGAAAUUAAUAUCCAAAUAAUACCUGAGUUUUUAUCUACAAAUAAUCUGUAAAAAGUCUUAAUAUUUGUCUGUGCUCUAUCACUCUUAAAUCUCUAACUUUGGCAUUAAAAACAAUGUGUGAACAGCUCCUGGAGGAAACAACUUAAAUUUGAUAUGACUUAAAAUAAUAUUAGCUGUGACUUUUGAAUUAUGUUUCUUCAUUUCUUUCACAUAAGAGUUUUAAAUGUUCAAAAAUGAAUUUCAAAUGAACACUUGAACAAUUUGAUCAUUUCAAUAAAUGAAUUUAAACCUACCUGGAUUUCAAUACUUUAUAAGAAAUUUUCUUAUUGGUUCUUAUAGGUUGGUACUCUUGCUAUGAGAUCGAUGUUUAAAGAAUAUGAAAAUGCCAAAGAAUAAAGGCUUUCCAUGUGUCUGUUGGCCAUCUGUAUAUUUCUUCAGAAAAAAAUAUGUAUUUAGGUCCUCUGCCCAUUUUUAAUUGGAUUACUUUUUAAUUGUUGAGUUUUAUAAGUUCUUUAUACAUUUUGAAUAUUAACCCAUUACUGGAGAUAUCAUUUGUAAAUAUUUUCUCCCAUUCAUUAGGUUGCCUUUUUGUUUUGUUGAUGAUUACCACAAAGAUAUCACUUCAUGCCUGUCAUAAUGGCUAAAAUUAAAAUAAUAAAAAAUAACAAGCAUUGGCAAGGAUGUGGAGAAAAAGGAACUCUUUUACACUGUUGGUAGGAAUGUAAAUUGGGGCAGCCACUGUGGAAAACAGUAGGGAGUUUCCUAAAAAUUUAAGAAUAGAAUUAUUAUAUGAUCCAGUAAUUCCACUACUAGAUAUUUACCCAAAGAAAAUGAAAACACUAAUUUGAAAAGAUAUAUACACCCCUAUGCAUAUUGCAUCAUUAUUUACUAUAGCUAAGAUAUGAAAGCAACCCAAUUAAAUAAUGGAUAAAGAAAGUGUGUGUAUAUACAGUAGAAUACUACUCAGCCAUAAGAAAGUGUGAAGUCUUGUUAUCUGCAACAACAUGGAUGGACCUAGAGGAUAUACUGCUAAGUGAAAUAAUCAGAGAAAGACAAAUACCAUAUGAUGUCACUCAUAUAUGGGAUUUAAGGAACAAACAAAUGAAAAAAGAAAAAAAGAGACGAAAAUAUAGGCUCUUAAAUACGGAGAACAAACAGAUGGUUGUUGGGGGGGAUAUGGGUGAGAUAGAUAAAGGGGAUCAAGAGGACACUUAUCUUGAUGAGCCAGAGAAAUGUAUAGGAUUGCUGAAUCAUACUGUACACCUGAAAUUAAUAUGACACUUACAUGUUAAUUAUACUUCGAUAAAAAACAAAAACAAAACAAAAAAGAAUAAAGGCUUUGUGGAAAAUAAAUCUUCCCUGGAAUUCUCAGAGCUUAUGCAAGACCUUAGCCUUCUGGGACGUGGAAAUGAAUACAACGUAAAAUAGGAAAUGUGGAAAUGUUUGCCUUUAUUUCCCUUAAAACAUUUCACUCUUCACAGGAGGAUUAGAUGCCAAGUCAUUUGUCAGGUUUAUUUCUCUGACCCAAAAGGCUAAUAAAAUUCCUCUUAUCUCCCUGAGAUGGACAAAUGGUCACAGUCCAGACUAGCUCCCAGAUACACCCCAAAAUACCAGAAGACUGGAGAAAGUUUUUUUCUAGGAAUUUAUAUUUCAAAGAGAAAUGAUAGCCUGGGGAUUUGGAAACAUCUCUAGGUUGUAAAAGUCCAGAUACAUAAGGCUACAUGGCUCCUGGGGAGACUUCAUUUACAUUACUAAAGGUUGGAAUUAAGACUCAGGUCCAUUAUAUUUCCCUGGAGGAGACUUAAGAAGGUAGCAAAAGACUGCUUCAUUCCCCUUUAUAAGUAGAAAAAUAAAAUUUUCCUCACCCUUCACCUAUGAAGUUUUCCUGUUCAUGCAGGAAAAUUCCCCUGGGCUUUCAUGAUACAAGAUAAAUAUUAAGGCAUGGGGAAAGAGGUCAACAAAUUAUUAUUUACUCUGAAGUAAUAAGAAAUCUGUCUUUGAUCCAGAACACUUCAUGUGAACAGUCAAAAUUAUUUUAAAAAGAAGAAUAUUAUACACAUAAUAGACUUCAAUACAUGUCUUCUCAGUAUGUCCUCUCAACCAAUUGUUGAAACCUAAUUCACAGCUUUGUUUACUCUGCAUUGGCCACAUAACUCUGUAUUUAUGCAAACUUUGAUAUUUUUAUUGCUGAAUGUGACUGCAUGCAAAAUGAAACAUCAAAACACAAAGUAAAAAUAAUUCACACUGUUCAAGGGGCAAGCUUUCCUACUGAUUCUAUGCUUCCUCUUUUCACUGAACUAUCUCAUUUAGAGCUAGUGAAAAAAAUCAUGUGAUUUAUAAAUUAUUGGCUUUCAUCCUUUCAUUGUUCAUACCAAUUCCUUUGCCUGAACCACCCUCCUACUCCGUUAUUUAGCUGUUAUAAUAAACCAGAUUCAGGUAAGUUUGUUGUUUGCAUUUGUAUAUAAAUAUGAUGCAUAGCGACUCAAUGCAUGAGGUGUAUUUAUUACCUCCAUUUUACAGAUAGAGAAACUGACGCUUAGAAAAAUUACUUGCAAAUAUUACAUAGUAAAGUGACAAACACAGGUAAUGUAAUUCUAGAGACAAAACUGUUAACUACUGUCUGAACAUACAAAACGAUUACUCUCCUAUCCAAACCUCCUAUCUUGAAGAGCCUUUUCUGAUAGCCUAAUCUGAUGAAAAUGCCUUUCCUCUGCACUUCUGUAUGCGUGACCAUCCUUACACUAAUACAUGCCCUAAUCAUGCUCUGAUCUCUCGUGUAUAGGCAUACACACCUACACAUUUAUCAAAUGGUAAGUAUAGCAGAAAUGUAAGAAUAAUA